rnacentral:rRNA from 1 species
AGUCGAGGGGCAGCAUGAUUUGUAGCAAUACAGAUUGAUGGCGACCGGCGCACGGGUGAGUAACGCGUAUGCAACUUACCUAUCAGAGGGGGAUAGCCCGGCGAAAGUCGGAUUAAUACCCCAUAAAACAGGGGUCCCGCAUGGGAAUAUUUGUUAAAGAUUCAUCGCUGAUAGAUAGGCAUGCGUUCCAUUAGGCAGUUGGCGGGGUAACGGCCCACCAAACCGACGAUGGAUAGGGGUUCUGAGAGGAAGGUCCCCCACAUUGGUACUGAGACACGGACCAAACUCCUACGGGAGGCAGCAGUGAGGAAUAUUGGUCAAUGGCCGAGAGGCUGAACCAGCCAAGUCGCGUGAAGGAAGAAGGAUCUAUGGUUUGUAAACUUCUUUUAUAGGGGAAUAAAGUGGAGGACGUGUCCUUUUUUGUAUGUACCCUAUGAAUAAGCAUCGGCUAACUCCGUGCCAGCAGCCGCGGUAAUACGGAGGAUGCGAGCGUUAUCCGGAUUUAUUGGGUUUAAAGGGUGCGUAGGUGGUGAUUUAAGUCAGCGGUGAAAGUUUGUGGCUCAACCAUAAAAUUGCCGUUGAAACUGGGUUACUUGAGUGUGUUUGAGGUAGGCGGAAUGCGUGGUGUAGCGGUGAAAUGCAUAGAU